CUGCGUGCGGGGGCGCAUUCACGAGUCGCGUCAGUCGAAAAAAAAACUUUGAACGAUUUGGACGGGAAAACUCGGUUCGGCGGCUAUGCGGGUAUUUUUAAUCUAAGCCAUCAAUCCACAGCUACAGUGCAUCAAAUCGAUCGGAAAGUCGAGGCAAUAUUUCUGAAAGUGUUUACAAAUCGCUGGCAUCGUAGUCGUUAAUUGCAAAAAGCUUCUCAAAUUAGAGUAAAUCGCGAUCAUAAGCAACCUAAAGUGUGAAACCAAAUGUUAGUCUAAGCCUAAAGUGUAAAACUAGUUUAAGACCUCCAAAAUAAAACAAAAAAGAAACCAAUACGUGCUAAAUACCAGAAU